GGAAUAAAACUCUGGAUAUAAACCCUCCGACAGAACCCAUCUCCUUUUCCUCUUCACCCUCGCCGGAAGCCUUCCUACCUAAGGAACAAGCAAUCUUUUCACACAAGCAGAUGUAUUUCUGGUAAUGAGAGGACAUAUUUGCCAUCAAAUCAGUUACAGUGCAGUUCCUCCUCCUGAAAAGGUGGGAGGACCUUGCAACUUCACUACCCAGGCAUCAAGAAAAUGCUGAAGCAUGCCAGAAGAAUCAGGAGGACAGAAUAUAAAGGAAAGCCUCUGGAAUUAAACCACAGCCUCACUUGACAAAAACAACAUUUUCCAAAAAGCAACUGAUGAUGUGAGGGAAAUAGAGAGAUUUGG